rnacentral:rRNA from 1 species
UACGUAGGGUGCAAGCGUUGUCCGGAAUUAUUGGGCGUAAAGAGCUCGUAGGCGGUCUGUCACGUCUGCUGUGAAAACUCGGGGCUUAACCCCGGGCCUGCAGUGGGUACGGGCAGACUAGAGUGCGGUAGGGGAGACUGGAAUUCCUGGUGUAGCGGUGAAAUGCGCAGAUAUCAGGAGGAACACCGGUGGCGAAGGCGGGUCUCUGGGCCGAUACUGACGCUGAGACGCGAAAGCGUGGGGAGCAAACAGG